AGACCCGUGACCCAAAAAACACCCCAAAGACCAUCACUACGAUUAACAAGAAAGCCUAUGACAUGUUUGAAUAAUACUUGAUGGUCUAAAACUAAUCAAACAUAUGUCACAACGUGAAAUUUACAUGGACUACCCACAUCUUCUCUUCUCAUCACAUCAUGUGCUCUUUUCAGGACAUGGGUUUAUGCAGUUGCAGGUGUCGCUGUGGUUAUUUUGUGCCUAGCUGUUAUCAUUUUCAUCAUAAAGUAUCACAAAGGUUCUGUGGAACAUACUACAGAAGGUGAAUUCUACGUAAUGCGAAAAACAAAUCAGCACCGUGAGAAAAGCCAAGACCCCACAGAACAUGAUGCGACUACUCCUGGAGCUUCAGGAACCUCAGCAAGUUCUCCUGGAUUGCUUGUUCUUGUUCACCCUCACCCUGAAACUUGUGACUAUGCUUCAGUGCGAAAUCAGAAAGCCUGCGAGAAUGUCUCAGGUGUGCCAACACGACUGACUGGCAGCAGUGAUGUUCGGGUGAAGCCCAAACGUCCUACAAAGGAGGACUAUGAGAAUAUUGUGCAGGCCCAAGAAGUGGAUGAAGAUGAACGUCUGUCAGAUGAUGGAAGUGAAGAGGACACCUCAGAUGACACUAGCGGUGUGGACAGUGACACCGCGUCACUGAACUAUACCACAAUAGUCUUCCGCGAAUAGAUGAACUCUUAACUUUCUUGGUCAUCUAAAAACAAAGACAUUGACAUAUCUUUCACAACAUAUUUGCUUUAAUAAUAGAGCUGUCUGCUGUGAA